GAUAAGAUGGCUGUUGAUAGGUUCUUAAUUUGUAAAUAAUAUAUAUAGAUAUUAAAUAUCUUUUUAUCA
rnacentral:tRNA from 1 species